AGUGAACGCUGGCGGUAGGCCUAACACAUGCAAGUCGAACGGCAGCACAGUAAGAGCUUGCUCUUACGGGUGGCGAGUGGCGGACGAGUGAGGAAUACAUCGGAAUCUACUUUUUCGUGGGGGAUAACGUAGGGAAACUUACGCUAAUACCGCAUACGACCUACGGGUGAAAGCAGGGGAUCUUCGGACCUUGCGCGAUUGAAUGAGCCGAUGUCGGAUUAGCUAGUUGGCGGGGUAAAGGCCCACCAAGGCGACGAUCCGUAGCUGGUCUGAGAGGAUGAUCAGCCACACUGGAACUGAGACACGGUCCAGACUCCUACCGGAGGCAGCAGUGGGGAAUAUUGGACAAUGGGCGCAAGCCUGAUCCAGCCAUACCGCGUGGGUGAAGAAGGCCUUCGGGUUGUAAAGCCCUUUUGUUGGGAAAGAAAAGCAGCAGGUUAAUACCCCGCUGUUCUGACGGUACCCAAAGAAUAAGCACCGGCUAACUUCGUG
rnacentral:rRNA from 1 species